rnacentral:rRNA from 1 species
GUGCCUACGGGACGCAGCAGUGGGGGAUAUUGCACAAUGGGGGGAACCCUGAUGCAGCGACGCCGCGUGGGUGAAGAAGCGCCUCGGCGCGUAAAGCCCUGUCAGCAGGGAAGAAAAUGACGGUACCUGAAGAAGAAGCCCCGGCUAACUACGUGCCAGCAGCCGCGGUAAUACGUAGGGGGCAAGCGUUAUCCGGAUUUAUUGGGUUUAAAGGGUGCGUAGGCGGUCCGGAAAGUCAGCGGUAAAAGCCCGGGGCUCAACCCCGGCGAGCCGUUGAAACUGUCGGACUAGAGACGGCGAGAAGU